rnacentral:tRNA from 1 species
UAGCUAAAUGGUCAGAGCAUUGGUGCGUAAAGCCAAAGGUCCCGAGUUCUAUUCCCGG